rnacentral:ncRNA from 2 species
AGUAACGAGCGCCAGCACGCUUCGGAAUUUUCGUCGCAUUGCCCUGAGUUGCUGUCCGGCAACCCUCUCUUCCGGUGGGGUGCCUCAGGUGACUACUCGGCAACGUUCACGGGUUGCAAGCGGAUUCA